GAAAUCAAAAUCCUUCUGUUAGUUACAACAGAAUCAUUAAACUGCAAGCUCAAAAAAUAGCACAAAAUAUUGCAUCGCAAGGGCAGGUUGGUGUGCACGACUAAUGCCCUGGGGUGGCCUUUGCUUUGCUGACGUUUACCUGUAGCUCUCAACAAGCUCGUUGCACUCCCGCAGCGCGCGCCUGCAGGACGCGGGGCUGGGGGGGAGCUGCUGCCCCUCCCGGGUAACGCGGGUGAGAGAGUGGUUUGCUUGGCAGCUGCUGAAGCAGCACAGCAGCUGUCCUCAUAAAAACUUGGGAGGAAUUAAAAAGCAAAGGCAUGACAGUAGAGUAAAACAACGUUUAGGAAGGUUGCAGCUGAAGGGUUACGGCUGAAAUGUGGUGCUUCGAGUUGUCUGGGUGGCAGGGGAGAGGAGCGGUGGGGGCUGGGAGUGGAGAAGGUUAAAACAGUAACAGUGAUGAAGUUGGAGAGAGGGGCAGUGAGGGAAGUGGUGUGAGGUGUAAAAAGACCCACAACUGACAUGCAGUAAUAAAGUCUAAGAGAAGAAAAUAGAUUAACUCCAGGCAAAUAUUAGUGGAAAAAGUUUAUAUACUUAUUGGAUAAAAAUUACAAGUAAGCAAUUAAAAAAAAUAUAAUCUUUUUCAUAUAUAACCUUUUGAAGGGUGCAAUUUUAAAAUCAAGAACAUUCACUUUUCAGUUUAACACAGACAUGCAACCUCAGAGUGAGCAAUACUAUGUUUUACAACCAUACAAACAUCAGUUCGUGCUUACACUGAAAUACAAAGAAAACUU